rnacentral:rRNA from 1 species
GACGAACCGUGCGAACGUUGUUCGGAAUCACUGGGCUUAAAGGGCGCGUAGGCGGACGACCAAGUCGGGGGUGAAAUCUUUCGGCUCAACCGGAAAAUAGCCUUCGAUACUGGCCGUCUAGAGGGAGGUAGGGGCGUGUGGAACUUCCGGUGGAGCGGUGAAAUGCGUUGAUAUCGGAAGGAACUCCGGUGGCGAAAGCGACACGCUGGAUCUCAUCUGACGCUGAGGCGCGAAAGCCAGGGGAGCGAACGGG